rnacentral:tRNA from 1 species
GACUACGUGACGCAACGGUAGCGCGCCUGACUCCAGAUUAGAAGGUUGCGUGUUCGAAUCAGGUCGGGUUCA